rnacentral:tRNA from 1 species
GCCCCUUUAGUGUAGUCCGGUCAAUCAUCCAUGGUUCUCAGCCGUGUGACGCGGGUUCAAAUCCCGCAAGGGGCG